rnacentral:rRNA from 1 species
UAGGGAAUCUUCGGCAAUGGGGGCAACCCUGACCGAGCAACGCCGCGUGAGUGAAGAAGGUUUUCGGAUCGUAAAGCUCUGUUGUAAGUCAAGAACGGGUGUGAGAGUGGAAAGUUCACACUGUGACGGUAGCUUACCAGAAAGGGACGGCUAACUACGUGCCAGCAGCCGCGGUAAUACGUAGGUCCCGAGCGUUGUCCGGAUUUAUUGGGCGUAAAGCGAGCGCAGGCGGUUUGAUAAGUCUGAAGUUAAAGGCUGUGGCUCAACCAUAGUUCGCUUUGGAAACUGUCAAACUUGAGUGCAGAAGGGGAGAGUGGAAUUCCAUGUGUAGCGGUGAAAUGCGUAGAUAUAUGGAGGAACACCGGUGGCGAAAGCGGCUCUCUGGUCUGUAACUGACGCUGAGGCUCGAAAGCGUGGGGAGCGAACAGGAUUAGAUACCCUGGUAGUCCAUGCCGUAAACGAUGAAUGCUAGGUGUUGGAGGGUUUCCGCCCUUCAGUGCCGCAGCUAACGCAUUAAGCAUUCCGCCUGGGGAGUACGACCGCAAGGUUGAAACUCUAAAGUGAAUUGAC